rnacentral:rRNA from 1 species
AACAGGAUUAGAUACCCUGGUAGUCCACGCCGUAAACGAUGUCGACUUGGAGGUUGUGCCCUUGAGGCGUGGCUUCCGGAGCUAACGCGUUAAGUCGACCGCCUGGGGAGUACGGCCGCAAGGUUAAAACUCAAAUGAAUUGACGGGGGCCCGCACAAGCGGUGGAGCAUGUGGUUUAAUUCGAUGCAACGCGAAGAACCUUACCUACUCUUGACAUCCAGAGAAUUUGCUAGAGAUAGCUUAGUGCCUUCGGGAACUCUGAGACAGGUGCUGCAUGGCUGUCGUCAGCUCGUGUUGUGAAAUGUUGGGUUAAGUCCCGCAACGAGCGCAACCCUUAUCCUUUGUUGCCAGCACGUAAUGGUGGGAACUCAAAGGAGACUGCCGGUGAUAAACCGGAGGAAGGUGGGGAUGACGUCAAGUCAUCAUGGCCCUUACGAGUAGGGCUACACACGUGCUACAAUGGCAUAUACAAAGAGAAGCGAACUCGCGAGAGCAAGCGGACCUCAUAAAGUAUGUCGUAGUCCGGAUUGGAGUCUGCAACUCGACUCCAUGAAGUCGGAAUCGCUAGUAAUCGUAGAUCAGAAUGCUACGGUGAAUACGUUCCCGGGCCUUGUACACACCGCCCGUCACACCAUGGGAGUGGGUUGCAAAAGAAGUAGGUAGCUUAACCUUCGGGAGGGCGCUUACCACUUUGUGAUUCAUGACUGGGGUGAAGUCGUAACAAGGUAACC